AGGGCCUCUAUAAAAGCAAAGCCUUGUGCGAACUAAAAAGCACGAAGGUCUAUUGGCCUCUGUUUUCAUAUCUCCGUCUCCGAUUCCUCAUCGUCAUUCGUCAAUGGUGAAUUUGGAAUUCACUGGUGAAAACCCUAAAUCUAAACUUUUAAUUCUGAAUACACAGUAACGCUCUCUACACUUUUCAUUCUGAAUCUUAUAUUUUCUUGAGUUUGUCCCUGUUUCCUUGUUGCUUUUGGAUUACAACAAGUUGAAGAUCGACAAAAAGAAUUUUAAAGAAGGGAAAAUCAGAAAGAAAAGAAGGGUACAUAAAGAUUUUAAAAGUGAAUUUCAUGUGAAGCGUUACUGCGAGUUACAUGCAUUCUCCAAGACUUUCAGAUAAUACUGGCUGGCUUUGAUCGGAUUGGACGAUUGAAUUAUAGAAAAGAGAUUUUGGUAUUUUUCUAUGAGUGACCUGUUUUCAUUCUUUUAUAUCCUUAUGCACAAAGAUUUUGGUAUCUGUAUAGUUUCAUUUUGGCAAUUUUCUUCUUAUCGUUUAUUUCUUUUGGAUUGCAUUUUUGCUGCAAACAGCCUCCUCUGGUAAAUUUAGGCAAGGGAAAUUUAGGUGCUGUGAACCAUCCUCCUGGUUUAUAAAAGACAUGACUCGAUCAAUAGUUAUAUAAGCAUUUUGUGGGUUAUUCUCCUCUUAUUGUUGGAGGAGAUAAAGAUAUAAAACAAAGCCAUUAUGCUUUGUAGUCUUAUUGGAAAACUGAAUGGAGCUGAUUAGUAUCUUAUGGAAUAAAGUCCAAUAUCACUGUACGUAUCCAUCUCAGUUCAUCAAAAAGGAAAAUAAAGUUGUCAUUUGAAUGUCUCAUGUUCUCCAUUUGGCUGUGUCAAAGUUGUCUUCUGGGGAAUGGUUAGUCAUUUUCUUGCUUUUAUUAUCUUUUAUCGUUGAAGUCAUAUUUGACAUAUCCUUCUCCUCAUAGUCAACUUUUCUUGAUGUUCAUAAGCUCCUCCGUGGACAUAAAGCGUGAAAGAUGAAUACUUCUUGUUGGUGCAUUUAGAACAUAUUUCAUGGAAAUAUAUGUUAAGGUUUUUGAUAUACAGUCUUUUGACGUAUGUAGAUCUCAGAAAACGGCAAUGUAUUUGCUGGCGGAUACUCUGAGCUUAUAACCAGGUUCAUAUCCAGUUUCAUAAGAUAUACAGUUGCACCUUAGUCCAUUUAGCUGCUAUUCCCUAGCUCUGUCAUCUGUCCUCCCAUUCUUUUAUCAAUUCUCUUUUUUUUUAAGACUCUGACUGAAUCUUGGGAUUACAAGUUAAAAGUAGAGUUUGCAUUGAGCUAAUUUAUUUACAUUCUUUUGGAUUAUCAAAAUUUGAUCCGUUGCAAAUUUGAAAUCAUGGGUUGAAACUAGGAUGGGGAAUAUAAUCCAAAAAAUGUAAAGGAAUUUGAAUUGUGAAAAGUUAUGGUAUUACCUAUUGCCAGUGGUCUUGUUACUCACUGUUUUAUCCAAGUUUGUUGGCUUGCAAUCUCUAGAAGUUAAAGUUCUGCAGCUAAUUACGUCUCACAUGGACAUAUAUUCUCAACGGUUAUAUAUAUAAAUAUUUUGGUGGCCUUUUCAUGGAGGUCGCAGUGAGUUCUCUCUGUGAUGCGAUUUUUAUUUUGGAAUUUUGGCACUAAAUGAGAUACGAAGUAAAAUUUGAAUUUUAAGCACAACUCUGACAACAUGCUAUUAAACAGAAAAAUGUGCUUUUUCUGGUAUUUUAGUCAGUGGGAACCGAGGCUUCUCUUUUACAAUUCUGACUUGUGAAAUUGUAACUUCAUGGGCAAAUGUAACUUCAUGGAGCAGUUCACCAUAAUUUGUAGUAUGUUUAAGUGGCAGACAUUAUAAUGUGCAGUGGCCAUAUGCACUUUCAUGUGUUUGAUGCAUAGAUCAUAAAAGCAAUAAUUUUCUGAAGUUCUUUUAGCUUGGACUCUUGUUUAAGAAUUAUUUUUAAGCAAACUUACUCAUGCUAGUUCUACUAAAUUCUAUUAUGUAUGUACUUUGAAAAGGUAGAAACAUGUAUACUUAAUUUUUUUGGGUGGCAUAAGACUGGAACAAGCCCAAAACAGAGCAAAACAAAGCCUAAUCACAAAUGAAACUUGUACCCAUCGCAUCACAAAGCAAGAGAUGCAAUAUACCAGCUGGAGGCUCAAAAGAAAGCUUGAAGACCAACAUCCAUAUCAAUGGCCAGACCUGCCGACCAGUCAGCACAAGAGUUCGAUUCUGCUUGAUGCAGCAAUCCAUCUUGUGCAAGUUUUUAACUGCAGCAACAAUAUUGCAGCAAGCAAGACCAGAGCUGUCAUUACUGGUUGCACUAUUAACUACUGAGAUGGUUUACUUAUUUGGUUGACGUUUGCAUUUUCUUUUUCUAGUUUCAUGUCUGCUGAACACCGUAAUGUUGUGGCUCCUAUUGCUUCUAUCAAGUGAAAUGAGUACCUACUAGUCACUUAUUUAUCUGCACCUUAUAUUUGUUUGAUGAGUUGAAAUUUUAUGUUAGUUGUUGUUUAAGAACAUAUUGGUGACCGGAGUUACUACCGUUUCUUCUUUCAGUCAUCCACCUCCAUGAUUCUCUGCUGCUUUGAGAUCAAGUAUUGAUACCAAUCUUUUCAAAGCAUCGACUAGCUUUACGGCUGGAUGUGUUGGUUUUCUUCUUGCUAAUAAAUGGAGAAAACUGACUACUUGUCGGGUUGAGUCAAAAUGGGCUGAGCCCUCAGAAAGAUUGCCGGGAGUUUGGGAAGUUCCGGAUGACUGUAGUGGAAGUGAUUAUGAUGAAGAAAUUGAAGAAUUGGAAGAGUAUGACAUGGAUUAUGAGAGUGAUUGGGAGGACGAAACAUAUGCUAAAGCUACCACUAGGAUAGUUGGUAAUUCCACAUCAAAAAAUUAUGAGGAGGAUGGGCGGAAGACACAUAUGUUGCAUCUACUUCUUUGACAGUUCUUCAACUCCACAUGGAAAAAUUAUGAGGAUCUAGCUAAAGGAGCCCCUUUAAUCCUUUGUUCCUUUUUCUCAUCUUAUUUUCUGCAUUUUUCUUGAAUCAAUCAUCAUAAAAAGGAUGGGCAGAAAAAGUACAUGAAUUGAAGAUGAUAUUAUGUUAUUUUUGGUAAAUAUGUUGAGAAAGCAACUAAUUUCUUUAACUUUCAAAUUUCAUUAUAACAUGUAAGAAAUAUAGUUAAUCUUGAAAUGCCAGGUAGUCUUUACAAACUAACGAGGCUUAUGAUUAGUGGUCAGAACAUCUCAAUUUUAUUAUUCAUUCUCUGUUGAAGCUUAUUUAGGUCUGCAUAAAUAAUAUGCUUCUGAUUAGGGAAGAAGGUGGCUAGGAAGUCUGGCAUUUCAGGAUAAGAAUUUCACAGGCAAAGCUUUAAUACGUAUUUAAGUGAAAAAUAUUUGAAGGUCUCCUUUUACUAUUGUUUUUGUAGAUCUGUAUCUAUUCCUGUUUCUUGGUCAUUGAUGCCUAAAAUAAGCGUAAGCAAUCAGUAAUUUAUUUUUCUGGAAUGAUACAUUGAAGAAUCAUUACUUCAAAUUGCCGAUUGGAUCAAACACAAUUUUUUACUCAAAAAAGAUUAUCCUUUUAAAUACAUUUCAUUUAUUGACCUUGAAUGAUUCACAGUUCACCUGGGGUUCUUUUGAUUUUUUUCUUUUUAAUUGUUUUGUUCAUAAUCAGUGGUUUACUACAAGUUACUCAAGCAUCAUGCGAUCAUUAACUUCAUGAAUUUGUUACUGUGGAUAAAAAUGCUGGGUGCUUGGCCACAUGGAAAAUGUGAUGGUGAUGAGCAUGAAAUUUAGACGAAAGGGAAAAAAAGGGGAGGGGUGUUUGGCUGCACAAUGUUCCUCAAAUAUGGCACACAUUUGUCAAUCUGAUUUGAUGGUUGCAUAUCUUUUCGAUAGGAAGAAUCCCAUAUAGUCUAAAAUGCCCUUCUGUUGCACAAUUGUUUAUCUCCAUCCUCCUUAUGGGAUAAAUCAUAUUGAGCUGGUCUCUGAGCCCUUCUACAAUGAAAUUUUCUUCACAAAGUUUUAUGAGACUCGGAAGUAAGUACAUUCAUGCCCUUUGUUUCUGAGGUUACAUAUUUGUCUGUGAAGACAUGAGUUGGGAAAGAAUUGAAACAACCACAGCUCUGUCUGAGAUUGCAGUAUCCAAAGAAAAUUUCCGUUGAACCAGGCCAAAAUAAAUCAGAAAAUACAGCUAUUGGCUGGGGUUCUUUUACUGUUUUAUUUUUUAACUGUUUUGUUGAUAAUCACUAGUUUGCUACAAGUUUCUCAAGCAUCAUGCAAUCAAUAACUUUGUGAAUUUGCAACCGUGGAAAACAAUGUUGGGUGCUUGGCUAGUCACAUGGAAAAUGGUACGAGCAUGAUGGUUAGACGAAAGGGAAGAAAGGGGAGGGUGGCUGGCUGCAUAAUGUUUCUCAAAUAUGGCUUACAUUUGUUGAUGUGACUGCAUAUCUUUUUGAUAGGAAGAUGCCCACAGAGUCUAAACUGGCUUCUUCUUCAUAAUUGUUAAUCUCCAUUCUUCUUGUAGGAUAAAUCAAUAUGGAGUUUAAUUAGGCUGAUUAAAAAAGAGAACUAACCAACCCAAGUGGCUACUGUUGGUUCGGUUUUUCCCAUUUUGAAAUGGAUUUAGGUUACACUUGCUCCCAAUUUUCACCUGCAACCCUUUCUACCUGUAUAAUUAUUCUGGAAAAUAACGCUGAUGCUAAAUUUUUUGCUGAAAUUGAACAGCUGUUAGUACCAGAAGAAAGAGCAAUUGUACAACUGAAUGCAACUUAUAACCUGGACGAACUAUCACCAGUCGGUUAGGAAAACUUUGAACUUCUUCCUUUGUUAUAUAAAUUCUUUCUUUUUCAUUAGCAAAUGGGUUAAAAAGUUGCCAUUCAAAUCUAAGGUAUUUAUUAGAAGGAGCUUGUUUGUGGGAAUUUUGAUUAGUUACUACUAUCCAUAGCUUAUUAGCUGGAUAAGGCACUACCAUCUUGCCAUGUUCUUAUAUCAGGUGAAAUGGAAGCCACUCCAGACUCUUGCAUUAUCAGGACAAAUAUGAUUUAUGGAUAAGUUGCUAGCAGAUGGACUUGAUAUUGAGUGUUGAGGAGGUGAAUUUUAUCUGUAGCAGUACUUAUUCUAUAUCUUAUAUUUUGCUAUUUCUUAUUGUCUGUCACCAGGAGCAAUAAUUUUAAGUGAACUGGUCCAAUAGGAUGGUCUCACAGCUCUACAUAAGGCAAUUGUUGGUAAAAAGGAGGCUGUCAUUAGUCACAGCUCUGCAUAAGUCCUUGCCCAUUUUUCUUAGUAACAGGAUGGUGCUAGCUCUCUCUAUUAUGCAGUUCAAAUUGGUGGCCUGCAGACUGUGAAGCUAUAAAUUAAAUACAAUGUUGGAUGUCAAUGUUGCAGAUAAGAUAGGAACAGAAGAAAUAAGGUAAUUGCCGGUAACUUAGCAUCUGACUACGAAAUUAUAAUUGGGAAACUCAUAGUAUUGGCUCGACAUAUUCAGGGUGGAAUGACAAUGCUGGGUAUUUGCUUAUGUUAUGGCAAAGACUUUAAAUCAUAUGAGCUUGCCAAAUUAGUGAAGGUUGUAAGUGCUAACAAAGAUUUUUGACAGGAAUGAGCAUUAUGCAACUUUGAGAUCAGAUAUAAAACAAAAGAUGGUAUAAAGCUGUCCUGUGUGCAGUUUCUGAAUGGACUUGCCUACAUCUUCCAAUUGAGCCCUUAUGGUCUAUAGCCUUUUGUGUGGGUCAUUGAAACUUCUUGUGCUCUGGAAAGACUAAAUGUGGGCAGGAGUUUGGGAGACAUGUAAUUUUGCUCAUCAUCAACUCAGUGGCAUGACUCAUGGAGGCAUGCUAUAUUUGGUCAAUGCAGCUGCUGCCACCACAAAUUAUGGGCAUUUCUAUCUAUGGAACGGCAGACAGAAUGCAUGGCAUCUCCCAGCGGCAACAAAUGCACACAGUUGGGUGCAAAGUCAUGUACUGUGCUGGUGUUGUAGGCAAGCCAGAAGAAAAACGUAGAAAGGCUAGAGGAUUGAUGAUGUCAGAUUAAGCACUUGCCUAUGCAUUUUGGGGUUUUCGUAUUUCCUUUUUCUGUACUUUCAUGGGAAAAAAAUAGAAGCUACAAAAUUCUCUGCACAUGAAUGAUCUAUUGCUGCUAUAAUUAUUCUGUUCUUAUGCUCUCAAAAGUGGCAAUUUUUACUGAUGUUAAUGUAUCUGGAUUUGACAGAGCUAA